rfam:Fusarium verticillioides 7600 chromosome 3, whole genome shotgun sequence.
AGCAAUUUGGCGCAGUGGAAGCGCGCCGGGCUCAUAACCCGGAGGUCGCACGAUCGAAACGUGCAAUUGCUA